CUAUGGCCAUACCACCCUGAAUGCACCCGAUCUUGUCUGAUCUCGGAAGCUAAGCAGGGUCGGGCCUGGUUAAUACUUGGAUGGGAGAAAUCUUUUUAAAGGCACAGAGUCGAUUAGU
rnacentral:rRNA from 1 species